GAGAGGAAGAAGAAAACGAUGUAGAACCAGAAGCAGUGACAGGAAGAAGAAAGCCAUUACCUACAGUAACACGAGGAAGAGAAUGAGAGGAAUAGGAAGAGAGUUUUUCAAGUGUACCUGGCUGAGACGUAAGAUGAGCCGUCGCAGUAGAGUCCAUGUACCAAGCUGCAUCAGACGGGUCCGCUAGUGUCAUGGAGUUAAAAGCACCGGCGAGUGCUGUGGGAAUCAGGUCCGUUGAUGGUGAAGCAUUAGGAGGUUGAGCCGAUGUAAAAUUUGCAGCGCCGUGUGGUGGAGGGACUGGUCCU
rnacentral:lncRNA from 1 species